UCCCACCUGGUGUAGUGGAUAGGAUAUCUAGCUCUCACCCAGAAGCCACGGGUUCGAUUUUCGGUGUGGGAA